rnacentral:rRNA from 1 species
UACGUAGGCAGCGAGCGUUGUUCGGAGUUACUGGGCGUAAAGAGUGCGUAGGCGGUUUUCUAAGUUUGGUGUGAAAUCUCCCCGGCUCAACUGGGAGGGUGCGCCGAAGACUGGAAGGCUUGAGUAUGGGAGAGGUAAGCGGAAUUCCUGGUGUAGCGGUGAAAUGCGUAGAUAUCAGGAGGAACACCUGCGGUGUAGACGGCUUACUGGACCAUAACUGACGCUGAGGCACGAAAGCGUGGGUAGCAAACAGG